CCUCCCAGCUAGCCUUGCCCUGUGACAGAUGAGCCCAAUGACAGCAGGACGCAACAACCUGCAAUUGAACAUUCCCCUGCGAUCUGUCAAUGUCCGUGGUGUCGUUUCACUCUCAGGAAAACACACAGGGACACAGAUAGACUGCCAUUUCUCUCUCUCCUUCCCUCUCCCUCUCCUCCAUUGAUGGAUGGACAGAUCAUGUAUAUCCAAUCUAGCAGUGCUCCUGAUGCGGUUAGGGGCUGUGACAAGUCUCCGGGCGGGGGAACCGAGCAGAGCGGAGCAAAGGAACGGGGUGACGAAGAGGACACGACAUCUGGAGAACACGCCAAAGAAAAGAAUGCAGCAGCAGCAGCAGCAGCAGCAUAGAGAGGAGGAAGGACUGCGUAAAGUGUCUGCAUAGCGCCCUGAGCGAGUGUGUGUGUGUGUGUGUGUGUGUGUGUGUGUGUGUGUGUGUGUGUGUGUGUGUGUGUGUGUGUGUGUGUGUGUGUGUGUGUGUGUGUGUGUGUGUGUGUGUGUGUGUGUGUGUGUGUGUGUGGAAAGCAAACGUACACCCUCUGCCCUGCCCUGUGGGCUACUGUGUGGCUCUCUGGUUGACAGUCCUAACUGACUGCACUGACAGAACUCCACACCACUUAAUGAUGACAAUGAAGAUGGACAAAAAUUACACAGUUAUGUCUGAUGGUGCUGACAUAUUAAAUGUAUCAGAGGCAGCAGGCAGAGUGUUGGAGCCCCUCUUCCAUAGCUACUGUAUGAACCACAAAGUGUUACGGAUGGAGAUUAAUUGGACUGGUGGCUGUUGACAUUCACUCAUGAGUUUCAGACUGCAGUUGCAAACAUUAUCCACCGGGGGGUAAUGUUAUCCUCACAGUAUCCAAAGGAGCCCCUGUGCUCUCUCCAAUGACACUGUCCCAGCUUCAAUUUUUUUGUUCUAAUAACAUUCUUGGAAAGUUCUGUAAAGUUCUAGUAAUCUCUUUCAAUUUCCAUAGAGUUCUUCUUAAAGGCAGGACAAAGCUCCGUGCAGAUGCUUUGAAAAUGGUCCUAAAACAUUUUCCGAACGUUACAUUGACAAUGCUUGUUAUCAUUUUGGAAAUAUUCUCAAGAGCAAGACCCCAAAAACAUCCUCAAAUCCCUUUUGGUAAUUUAUGAUAUUACGGGAACAUUUUGUAGUCUUCAAUAACAUCUUGAAAAUAUUUUUUUGAAUGUGAGUUUGUCACAUUCACACUCUUGUUUUGUUAUCAUCAUCACAAAAUAUCUUCCAAACAUCCUCUUCUUCUAACUUCUUAGUUCAUUUUUAACCUCAUAGGAACAAUACUUGAAAUUAUAAAUAUCCUUAAAACAUUUGAUUAACAUGUAUAACAUAUAACAUUAUACUGGAACGUUCCCUGCUUACUGAAGUGGCGCUUCACUAAGGCAGUAGUGGGUGAUUUGCUCGUUCAUAUUGGCAGCAGGGUUGAUGAUAAUGUAUUAUCCCGGGCUGUAACAGUGCAGGUGUUGAUGGUGUGUGUGUGUGUGUGUCCGGGGAGGUUGGGAGGGUGAUCGUGUCCUCUGCUUCUUCAUUCUUCUGCCUUCACUCUCCCUAUGGAUAUUUGGUGGUCAUUCCAUGAAAGACUUUAGCAAGCCGACUGUGUGAGUGUGUGCUGUGUUCGCUGGAAUGGAAUAAUGUUCAACUAUCACUGCUGUGUUUGCAUGCAAAUUUUGCUACGGGAAAUUACAAAUGACAAUCGAUGAUGAACAAGAUUUUAAAAGCACACAAAUCUUCAAGGUGAGGAAGUGAUGCUCUGAGUAAACCCAAGACUGUCUGACCUCUCAAAGGCACAGAGGUCAGGGGUCGACUCACUUGACCCCCCCGAAACCAUAUCACCCCCUUUGACUACAUAAUACACAGAAAACUCUCCUCGCGCAUACCUUUACUCUCCCCAGACGGAGAGGAACACUUUCUCUUGUGACCCUAACACACCCACAGAAUCAAUAAACACAAAAAAAAAGUGGAAGUGAGCAAGAAUCCACCCCCCCUUCCCUCCUCUCUUGCCUGUCUUUUGUCUCCUUCCCCUCAAACCCCCUUCACCUCAGCACACAUCCAUGCACACAAACAAGACAACACGUUAAAAAAAAAAGACAGAGUUGAGAAAAGUCAACAGAAUUCCACCUCCAUUUUAAAGACACUCGGCAAAACAGCAGCCAUUUUCUAAAAUGCAGAAUUGCCACCCGCACCCCCACCUCUUGAUAGUAAUCAAAUUUGGUCUCAUCUUUUCAUUUUCUCAUCUCUCCUCCCCAUCUGUGUGGUGUAACUCCUCUCCUUCUCAUUCUCUCCCUCGUCAUCCCUCACUGUCACUCUGCAGCUCGGAGCCAUUGACCUCCGACCCCCAGGCAGGUUCACCAGCGGGUCAGGAGCCUAGCGAGGGGGGAGACGGGGAGAGAGGAGGGCUGGGAGGUCUGUUAUUGGGGGAUGCCAGCUUCCUCCUUUGGCCAUGGAUACAGCCUUCACUGCUGCUGCCAUAGCAACUGGACGAGACGGCGGAGAGAGCAGACUGCGGAGAGCUGCUGGGAUGGAGCUCUCUCUUCUGUGAUCUGGCUGUAACCUCAACGGGCACUUGCACAUGUUCACACACACACACACACACACAUGCAGUCACACUCAUAUACACACACAUAAUGACAAACUGGCACACAUAUACACAAUCCCAUGCGUGCCUGCAAAAUCUAAUCAAAUUUCUUAUUUGGACUGCCAGGCUGUGCUGGAAAAGACUUUUUCAAGUUACAAGAUUGAUGGGUAUUCCAUGUUGGCUGCAAUUAAUUGCUGCAUAAUUAGACAUACAAGUUAUUUAUUGAAGCAAUUUGGAGAAUACAAGAGCCUGGGGAUAUAUAAAAACCAUUUGAUCAUGAGCCGCAUAAACUUUAAAGAUGUCCUCUUACAAGCAUUAUUUGGAUAGAAAUUAGCAAUACAAUCUCCCCCAAAAAUGUUUCCCAUGUUAAUAAAAUGAUAAAUGAUCAUAAAUCUCCA